rnacentral:rRNA from 1 species
AACGAACGCUGGCGGCAUGCCUAACACAUGCAAGUCGAACGAGACCUUCGGGUCUAGUGGCGCACGGGUGCGUAACGCGUGGGAACCUGCCCUUAGGUUCGGAAUAACUCCCCGAAAGGGGUGCUAAUACCGGAUAAUGUCUUCGGACCAAAGAUUUAUCGCCUUUGGAUGGGGCCGCGUUGGAUUAGCUAGUUGGUAGGGUAAAAGCAUACCAAGGCGACGAUCCAUAGCUGGUCUGAGAGGAUGAUCAGCCACACUGGGACUGAGACACGGCCCAGACUCCUACGGGAGGCAGCAGUGGGGAAUAUUGGACAAUGGGCGAAAGCCUGAUCCAGCAAUGCCGCGUGAGUGAUGAAGGCCUUAGGGUUGUAAAGCUCUUUUACCCGGGAUGAUAAUGACAGUACCGGGAGAAUAAGCUCCGGCUAACUCCGUG